UGAAAUCACAGAAGGUUGGGCAACGGAGCCCGCCCCAGCUUGGCCAGGAAGCUCUGUCCUGCCGCGGGCCACCCAGGGAGUGACUGCGCCAAAAUUCCGCUCUUGCCUCACGUUUCCAGAAAUUUCAGUUUUAGGAAACGAAAGUGACUGCUCCGGAGAACCUGAGCUUCCUACGGUGUUGAAACUGCCCCAGGCUGGCACAAGUCAUGGUGCAGGAAGCCAGCCCAGAAAGCGGGGACCUGAAAAGGGAGGCUGGCAAGAGAGCGGGACGUCAGGCCCCUACAGGCAUCUGGGCCUUUGCUUUCUGUCAGCCAGAUUUGUUCAGCGUGUCCUUUUAUCAGGCAGGGAGUUUGUGGCCAGGGUGAACAGCACAAAGUCACGGCCCCUGCCCUUGAGAAGCUCACAGUUUAAAAAAAAGAACGGACAGAAGAAAACAGACUCGCAGACACAGACACCGGUCUCAUGGUUGCCAAAGGGGAGCGGGGAGGGGGUCAAAAUGAGCGAGGGGGACUCAGGGGCACACACCCCUCGGAGCAACGUGACGAAGAUGCGAGGAUGUGACGUGCAGCACAGAUGUCACAGCAACGCUCUCUACCAACUUUGCAUGGAGUAUGCUCUAUAAGAGUGUCAUCACUGUGGUCGACACCGGAAGCUAAUUCAAUACCCAUAAAUUUAGUUCUACCAUGGAUCAAAUCGUAUCAUCUUCAGCCAUAAUGAAAACUGGAACUCAGCAAUAAUUUUAUGGGGCCUCCCAGGCAACUCAGUUUUAAAGAAUCUACCUGCCAAUGCCGGAGACACAGGUUCAAUCCCUGGGUUAGGAAGACCCCCUGGAGAAGGAACUGGCAACAUACUCCAGUAUUCUUGCCUAGAGUCUCAUGGACAGAGGGGCCUGGUGGGCUACAGUUCAUGGGAUCAUAAAGAGUCAGACGUGAUUCAGCAACUAAACAAUAACAACAGCAAGUAAUCUACGACAGAGCUUUAAUUGCUUUAGACUUUUCAAAACGUAUUUAACAUUGUAUUUAAACGAAUUUAUUAUGGGCAAGUAUCUCUCCUAAGUUAAAGAAAACAUGUUUUUUUCCAUUUAUUCAUUCAUCCAUAAAUAUUUAUUGAGUGCCCUAUGUGCCAAGCAAUGCUGGAGAAACCAAUGAAAAAACAAAUGUCUGCCCUCUGCUGCUGCUAAGUCGCUUCAGUCGUGUCCGACUCUGUGCG
ensembl:lncRNA